rnacentral:lncRNA from 1 species
CUCUGCCGCUGCUGCUGCCGCCGCCUUUGCCUUACGGCCUGGAGCACCAGGCCGAAGCCGAAGGGAGCGUCCGGAUCCCGGAUAGCAGCCAGGACCCGGGCCUUCACGUUCCGGCGCCAGGGACUGGACAGAAUGUGCGGCUAUUAGGUGCCCAGUAGAUCGACAGCCCCUCCGUGCCGGCCCUUGGCCAAGUAGGGACUCGGAAGCUACCCCUACGGCGUCCGCGCCCGGAGCCCUGGCUCUUCUACCUGCCUGCAGAUACAAACCCCACUCCCUGCGAAGAUGGUGUACACGCAGCCCCGAGCACAGACCCGAAGCUGUCCACCCUUCUUGGGCGCCGUCGCGGUCUGGCCGCUGCCCUUCGAACCCAUGUUCUUCGUAGACUCUGGAAUGGAGCUGGAAGCUGUCAUCCUCAGCACACUAACGCAGGAACAGAAAACCAAGCACUGCAUGUUCCCACUUAUAAGUGAGAGCUGAACGAGCAGAACACAUGGACAUAUGAAGGGGAACAACACACUCUGGGGCCUGUGAGGUGCAGGGAGAGCAUCAAGAAGAACAGCUAAUGGGUGCUGGGCUUAAUACCUGGGUGAUGGGUUGAUCUGUGCGGCAAACCACCAUGGCACACAUUUACCUAUGUAACAAACCUUGACAUCCUGCACAUGUACCCCGGAACUUAAAAAUAAAAGUUGACAAAAAGAAAA